GACGAACGCUGGCGGCGUGCUUAACACAUGCAAGUCGAACGGAAAGGCCCUGCUUUUGUGGGGUGCUCGAGUGGCGAACGGGUGAGUAAAACGUGUGUAACCUGCCCUUGACUUUGGGAUAACUUCAGGAAACUGGGGCUAAUACCGGAUAGGAGCUCCUGCUGCAUGGUGGGGGUUGGAAAGUUUCGGCGGUUGGGGAUGGAAUCGCGGGUUAUCAGCUUGUUUGUGGGGUAGUGACUUACCAAGGCUUUGAAGGGUAGCCGGCCUGAGAGGGUGACCGGCCACAUGGGGACUGAGAUAGGGACCAGACGCCUACGGGAGGCAGCGGUCGGGAAUAUUGCACAAUAGGCGGAAGCCUGAGACAGCAACGCCGCGUGCGGGAUGACGGCUUUCGAGUUGUAAACCGCUUUCGCCUGUGACGAGGCGAGAGUGACGGUAAUGGGUAAGGAAGCACCGGCUAACUACGUG
rnacentral:rRNA from 1 species